GUGACAUUUCUCUGCAGCCCUGGAGAGAUGUCCUGCAGGAAGGACAUUUGGAAGGAGAGCUGUGGCCAUACUUCCACAUGAGGAUGAGGGUGGAGAGGGGACCGCGUCUGCCGGGCCCAUUCAGCACUGCAAGAGUAGCACCGCGUGCUUAUCCUUGAAACCUGGGUGCGGAUACAGGGGCGAUUCUGCUCGGGCUGCAGGGGAAGACCAGGAUGUUUGCUGUGUGCAGCAUUUGAGGCAAAUUCCCACGGCUCUGUGACAUUUGGCUCUGCGGCUUCUGCUUGGCACUUCCAGGCCCCAAAUCUAUUCUCACUUUCUUCUCCAAAGUGCAGCGGCCACAUUGUUCUCAGUAUUUAGAGAGCGUGUGUGAGAAUGGAUGUGUGGGAGGCUGCUCCUCUCCUAAAAUAUGUGCAUUUAAAUUGUCCGAGGGAAUUACCGACAUUAGCCUGCUUUGUUUUUGGGUUUUAUUAGUGUCAUUCAGUAAACGUCCCCCUGCAACCUGGGUAGCGAAUGCCCAGCCGCGCUCACUGGAGAUACCACUUGGCACUCUGCCUGCCGCAACUGCUGGAGGACAGUAAAUCCAUCCCUCCUUGGCUCGCAGGCACUGGCGCUGCGUUAGCUUGUGCAGAGCUGGCUCCUGCGCCCGUCUGAGCCGGGCCACAGCUCCCCGGACUUAGGGACUUAUGUGCCAUGAAGCAUCUGCAAACUGUGCUGUCUCGGGAGCUCUCCCAGAGGUGUGGAUUCCCCUCACUCAGGCAAACACCAGCGGCUUAUGUGGACCAGGAAUUUGUCUUUUCCUUUCCCCUUACCUUUCUGCAUCAUCGGUUUUAUAUAAAACCACAUGCUAGACCAGAAAGCCUAGCACACAGCACUCACUGAGAAUUGACUGGGUAUUGUAGAUACACACUGCUUCUAUAAAUAUUUAUGGAGUUACAGUCAGCCUUGGUGCGGGCAAACAAAUGUAAAUAACGCCAUGCACUCCUAGUGUGCUCCGGAUGGUGCUGUGAGCAGGAAUAGCAGUUCCUUGUGAAAUCAAUUUAAUGAAUCACUUAUAGUAGGAGCAGCAUUAUUAUGCCUAAUGGUAGGAGCAUUGUGAUGAUGGCUAUGUUAUCCAGCAAGCCCCUGCCUAGGAGUAUGGGCAUGGGGAGGGGAGACGUUUCCCAGGAGAGGAAGAUGAAGAUGAGAUGUGGGUGCAGGUGAUAGAAAUGAGAAAGUGCUGGAUUUUCCUGGCUGCUACACAUCUGGAUGUUGUGAUGUUAACUCGGAUAGUGGGUGUUGGGGCAGGGAGAGGCACUCUGGGCAGAAGGGAGAGGGGUGAGCAGGGUGUGGAUGACCUAAAAUGGAUGGGCAUUUUUCAUCUCUGCCAGAAAAGGGAAGAGAUGAACAGUUCCAGAAUGAAAUCUCCAUUUCAGAUCAGAAUUUCUCAUGUCUUUGGGUGAGUGACUUCAUCUUUCUCUUUCACUGGCUGUGGACAUAUUCCUGAAGUCAUUCUCAGCCCAUAGAAUCAUAGAACCCUAGAAUAGUUGGAAAAGACCUCUGAGGUCAUUGAAUAGAACCAUUGUUAACCCAGCACUGCCAAGCCCACCACUAAACCUUGCCCCCGAGUGGUACAUCCACAUGUCCUUGAAAUCCCUGCAGAAGUGGUGUCUCCAGCACUUCCCUGGGCAGCCUGUUCCAGCGCCAGACAACCCAUCCACAGGUUAUUCCCAAGCAACCCCCCAGCAGUGGGAUGGUUCACAGGGCUGACACAUGCUACAGGACACACAGGUCACGUUAGUACUGAUCUGCCCUCAGAGCCAGCUCACAUUUCUGGAGGUCUUUCCCAGUUUAUAGUUUUCCCUUUGCAGGCAUGUUUCAGCCAGGUAAUUAAUGUUAGGCUACGUAGGGAAAGUAAAAGCAGAAGGGCCUAGCAUACAGACAAAUAAAAGUGCAUUUUUAAAGUUUCA